rnacentral:lncRNA from 1 species
GCAGCCGCUGCCGCCGCAGCGAAGAGGCCAUGUUGUGUGGUGUGUGGGGCGGGGGGAGGAGGAGGAGGGAGUAAAGCCUAGAGAGGAGACGGGAGAGAGACACCACACACACGGCACAAGAUGGCCGGAGAGGCAGCAGCACCCCGAGCUGUCAGGCGUUCCGCCGCGGCCGCGAGGCCCGCCGGCCGGCGGGGAGCUACGCCCGGACGGCCAGCAGGCCCGCGGGAGUGGGGCUGCCGCGGCUGAGGCGAGGCGGGCCGCGCGCGUCGGCGUCACAGCCCGCGGCAGAGGCGCCCAGGGCGGCCGGGCCCACGACGCCGAAAGCGCCGCUGCGGUUGCCGCCUCGGAGGCUCCCCCGGGCCCCGGCGGCUGGACCCGGCGCGGGCGGGAGGCUCGGGCGGGCGGUCCGGCCCGGGACUCGGGUUUGGGCGACCAGGAGGUGCCGGUGGCCGCGCUCGGACCCGGUGACUUAAGAGAUUAAAAUUAAUUUGGUUGCUGUUGGUUCUGAACAAAUAAUGAGUUCUUUUAUUUGAGGUAUGCCAUUUUGAAGACUGAGACGUUGGAGUUUUAUCCUAGAGGAUAAAGGAAAUCUUUGGGAAAGUCAGUAUUUUAUAUAGCAAAUUUGAUUGUGGAGCGGCAUAAGGGGGAGAAAGAUAAGUUGAGGACGUCUCUUUAUCUUUUGUUAAUCAGAGGUGGUGAUAGAGUGGAAAAUAUAACACGUUUCGGCAUUCAGGAGACCUACCUUCCAAUAAAUAUGAACCUCAAACUGAAUCCUCUAAAGGCCCCAUACAAUGAAGUAGACAUUGGUGGAAACAUUUACACCCAGUCAGCUUGAAGAGUUUCAAAUGGACCCUACCACUGAGAAAUCAAGAUGGCAGUCUACUAUGGGGAAUUGAGGAAAAAUGGAUUAAUACAAGAGUCCUGUGAUAAUAUACAACCAAGACAGGGUUCUUUUAACAUGGAUUCCAUGCAGUGAAUGAAGACAUAGGUUUCUUACCCAACACAAAUGGACAGUGGAUUUGACUUUCUAAAGACUUUUUUUGUGGACAUUUUGACAUUUGGAGAAGAAAGAUGGCACACUAACCCAGAUAAUAGUUUUUAUGCCUGGAAUUUUUUGCAGUUUGAUUUGUAUGCGUAUGACCUCUUGAAAUGUUAAUUUUUAAUAAAAUUUGUAACACUUAAAAAUUUCUCAGUUUGGGUUUUUUUUUUUAAGUGGAAGUUUAAUUAAAUGUUUAGUUUUAUUUUAGUAAUACUUUGGCCUUUGUAGUUGCCGAGUGGUAAAGUGUACUGAAUAUGAAUAAAGCUGGUAAAUUGGAAAUGGUGUAAUCGAAAACAUUUUACUUGGUUUAUGAAGAUUUACGUUUUUCACAAAGUUGUGCUCUUAGAUGGUCAUUUGGUUUAAAUACUGUUUUGUUUGUGCUUUCAUGAAACACCUUUCAAAACAACUCAAUGGGUAAUAAUAGAAUCUGAUUUUAAUCUGCCACAAGAUUUUAAUGAACUUGAAACAAACUGCUUGUUGCUCGAAAAUUCAGGAUGAGUGAUACACAUAUACUUCUGAAUUAUUUUGUGUUGAUUGAAAUGGUUUCUUAAGCUUUUUAAUACUAUAAAUACAUCUUGCUAUAGAAUAUUCAUCUGAAUAUUUAAAUUAAUGUCUCCUAUUGUCUUACUAUUAGAGGAAGAAGUGUUGGAUUUAUGGGUUAGGGUCCUUGGAGUAUUCACAAUUUUUUAAAUUUGAAAUUAUGUGUGUAAUCCAUUUUAUAUAACUUUGAAGUAGGAUUAAUAUCUUGUAUCGUCUUUAUUUUGUACAAUUGGGGAUUUAGAAUAAAUGAAUUGCACCCUGCCAUAGAUUACUUACGUUUGAUUUUUAAAUGCCAGGUUUUCAUUUAUUACUAAUCAACUGAUACCAGUUUUGGUAACUAUUACAAAGGUGGUAGGCAUUAUUUUGGUAGACAAAAUGAGUUCUUGAUUCUGUUUUCCCAUUUUACAUGAGAAGAAUAAAUAGUUCAGGUUAAAUUGUUUUGUGUUAAUCAUACUGUUUGUGAUUCAUGUCAAAUACUGCAGCAUACACAUCCAUGGUUAAUACACGAGCACCAUUUGUUAUUGACUGAUGUGAGGUGGUUGGUCUUUGUUAAAUUCAAAAAUGGAAUUUUGGAUAUUGUUCUUGCUACGAAAUUUAUCUUUGUGUGUAGAGUAUGGAAUUGAAACAGUUUGGAUUAUGGAUUUUACCUAGAUUGGACAUUGUUGAUUUUGUUUGGUGUAAAUCUAAAGUGGAUUUCUUCAGUGAGGGAGAGACAUGGUUCUGGCAGAUUAUGUUGAAUAAGGAAAGUUGAUUGGAUUUUUUUGGGUGUGUGAAUAUGCUUGUCUGAAUGGAGUGCUUGGUAGGAUAUUGUUUCUGGAAUUAGUAAUUUGUUUCUGUGGAUCUCAUGGUUUUGAUAUUUAGGAGAAUUUGCUUUGUGACAUUACUUUGAUAAUUUGCAAUCACGUAUGUCCUAUUGUUAAUAACAUUGUUGAAAUGGGUGUAUACUUACUUGAUUUGAAAUAUAAGGGAAGUGUUGGGAUAUGUGUUUUCUGUUGGAUUUGGACGUGGAGUUUCUUGGGUUACUGAUUUAAAGGUGAUCGUGUUUGGACCAUACUCUUGAAUUUUUGCCUGAAUCAGUAUGGGAAGUAAAUAUAUUGUGAUUAUGAGAAGUUUCUUUGGGGGGAGGAGUGUAAUAUUUUCAAGGUUAUAUAAUGGGUUAAAGAAUUUUGUGAAAGAACAAAGAAAAAUGGAUAUUCUUGAAUAAAAAUUGGUUGCAUUAACUUUUGCUCCAGUGCAACUUGAACACUAGGGAGGCGCUCUUGAGUUGUAAAAGUUACCCCUUUCUUCCAGUGGAGAUGGAAAAUUCCCCCUUAAAUUUUGUCUUUAGAUUAUUUUUAGGCAUCAUAAAGAAGGAAAAACUUGAAUUUAUAUUAUGAAAUUAAGGUUUUACUUUUAUUUAGCAAUCAUUUCACCCAUUGGGGGAUUAAUUUUUAAAAAGAUUAGUACUUAGCUGAGCUUUAGAUUCUCUAAGAAUUAUCCCUUUUUCAAAAUGGCUUGAUAAAACACCACUUCCUGUCCAGGGAGGAAGUUAUUUUAGCUCAAGGACUGAAAUAUUUAGCAGAUCUUUAGACAAAAGGAACAAAUUACAUUUCUCUCUGGCUUAAAAAGGGUGCUUGAGCCAGAGGGGGUUAAGAAGCCCUCCCCCCUCCCCCUGUUGGGGUGGUCUGGAGGGGCAGGGAGGUGUGGGGGUGGGGGUCCUUAGGCUCCCUGGGAUGGAGGAUCUGUCUCUCUCUCUCUCUCUCCUUUUUUUUUUUUUGGUGGAGAUGAAGGGGUGGGUCUAUGGUACAUCACCUGAGUUGUGGGGUAAAUGUAGAGAGUGUCAAUCAAAGGCAGAGCUCUCAGAGCUGGGAAGGAGGCUCUAGAUGGCGGCUGUGCCUUAGAGAGAGCGCGCUCUGCUCCCUGCCUUUGCCUCACUUUACGCAACUUUCCCUAACUUUCGGGCAGCCUCAGGGGGCCCCCGUAGCCCCCUGCCUUUCCUAGGGACUUACUGGGGUCGAUUCGAACCUUUUUUUGGGAGAAAAGCAGCUUUUAGGAGCUUUCUUUUCGUGCCUUGUUGGAAAGAAGCAGCCGUACUGAGAGCCCAGGUCGUUGUUUUUUCCAGCUUAGAAGCCAUGGCGCACCUCCAUUUUUGUGCGCUCUCCUAAUGAGGUUUUUUUUCUUUCGGACCUGUUUUAGUAUUAAUUAUUGCUUUAUUUUUUUGACCAGUUAACAUAUUUGAGGGUUAUUUUAUUUAUUUUUCGUUUUUUAACGGAGGAUUUUGCCUUUAUUUUUAAUUAUUUGGGAUCUGAUAUUUUUCUACUAGUAGAUAGGACUCUUGGUUUGGACAUACUACAUGGAUCAGUAAAUACCUGGGCACAGGACUUCAAAGCAAACACAGAUUCCCCCUCCCCCUUAAUAUUUAAGAAUUAAAAGAUGAUGAGAAAUAAGGACAAAAGCCAAGAGGAGGACAGUUCGCUACACAGCAAUGCAUCGAGGUAUGAGCUAUCAACUUUCUUCCUUUUUGUCUUUUUUUUUGGGGGAGAAACCUCAGCUUACAAUUGUUUACCUUGACAGACAUGGAUUGCUGUCUGUUUUAUUGUGUUUUUCUAAUUUGGAUUCGUUUUUUAAAGCAUGACCUUGAGAUUGCUAAUAUGCCACACCCUAAUUUUUUGGUAGCAAUUUAUGAAAGUUGAGUUGUGACUUAAGGCCUCUUACAGCAGUCAAAAGGUAAGGUACCUUUAUUCAAAGGGGCCUUUACUGUAAUGUACAGUUUUUCUGUCAGUAAAUUUCAGUUUUUAGGUUUUUGUACUGCAGAAAAAUGACCUUGUCGGUUUAGCCAUUGCUGCAUUGCACCAUUUUACAUACAAGGCAAAUUUUUUCUUUGAAGAAUCCAGGAUAUCUAAACUUGUAACUGAGGGCCAUAGAGAAGCCUUGUAGUAGUAAAUUAUAGUAAAUAGACAUAUCAGAAAGUUAUAUGAAUGAAAAAAUGUACAUUUAAAAACAAAAUCACUUAAAGGACCCUUUGACUGAUGCCUCUCAGUUUAUAUUUUUAUGUGACUUUAUAUUUCUUUUGAUACACUUGACAUUUUAGGAAAUUUUGAUGUGAUUUAUCAAAACCUUUACUUGAUGGUUAGAGUUCCUGCAUUUAUGAAAUCAAAUCUGUAAUAACAGAAAUCCUGGAAUACUCUUAAUAUAUACUUCUAUUUUGUGUUUGUUACUGUGAUUAAUAUUUGCAGUUGUAUAUUUUACAUUUAAAUUAUUUUAAGGUUUGCAUUUGUAUGCUUAAGACAUUGAUUUCCUGUUGGUAGAUGUAUUUUAUCCUCACAAUUUAGAUGUAGCUGCUUUAAAUUUAUUGAUGUAUUUCGACAGAGUCGUCUGGAAUGCUUUAUCUUCUGAAGCUUAAAAAUGUACUGUUUGUGCAAAUCAUGAUCUGUUUCACAUUCCUUGGAGUACCUUGUUAGUGAUGAAGUAAUAAAGCCUCUAAGAUGUUUUUGUUGUAUGACCUCUG